CAACAAUAUUAUUUUCAAUUAUUUGCAAUUAGCUAAAUCUGCUAAAUUUUUAAAUAUUCCGGCAAACCCGUUCUUUUCGUAUAUAUAGAAACAAAUUAGAAUUCGAAAAAAAAAUUGUUAUACUUUCUAUUGUUAACAUUUGUAAAAUUCCAUAAAAAAUGUAACAUGCAAUAUCCAUUAUAAUUAAUAAUAACACACAUGGUAAUAAACGUGAAUAACGAGCGCGCAAUACAACAGAUUCAUGAGCUUUUUGAAUCUAGCUUUCAUUGCGAGGAUGUUUAUGCAAAAUAGCAACACCAUUGUCGCAUCAAUUGACCAACGUUACUGCAGUAAUAACGCCCUAUUGUGCCGGUAGUCAAUAUCGUUUUGUAAACUAGCUCCACCAAGUACCAAGCCAGUAAAUAUAACAAAUAAUAGAUAAUAUGCCAAGUCAGGGACGGACGAUGCCAAUGAUGGCAGAAAUCGUAAAAUGCAACGACCAAGUGCGACGUGGCAGAAUGGGAGCAGCUCUCGGGUGAGAGAUAGAAAACGGCGGAUUGCAAGGGGGGGCGACAAAUAGAUAAACUAAACUGUUCGUCGGCUAUUAUGCGGCGGUUCGUUUCACGUCCCGCAUGCAACGUUCGCCUAUUCUGUUUUCCGUACUGCUUCUGCAUUUUGCAUAGAGAAGUACCAUUCCGCGAGUAAAACUGUUGUGUAGACAAUAAAAUAAUAAAACAGGGACAACACGCAUGAGUGACACGAAACAAUGAGAGGGAAAAGUUAUCACCGAAUAAGAAGAAAUAAGAUGUAAUCCUCUAGAUCUGUUGCGAGACUUUUGAUAACAGAACCCCUGCGGCAAAAGGAGAAAUUUUUGCGUAUAUCAUCCGAAAUAAUGCGAAUAUACGUAUUCGUUGAUUCAGCUGAGAAUGUGAUCAAGUGUGAAAAAGCUCUGUAUUAAAACAUAUUAAAUUCUACUAAUUUAUGCGGAAAAGGAAAACACGAAAAAAGUGAACUAAAUAAACUAGUAUGAAGAAAA